UGGCUCUGUGAUUUUGUAACUCUUUUGGUGAUGUAUGUUUACGCAUUUUCUGUUCGGAUUUUUCUUAGAUGUAGAAAUAAUCAUGACUUUGUUUGAUUUAGGGAUUCUGGAUCCAGUGAUUUGAUAGCUGUGUUAUGCUAUAAUGGAGGUUUUGUUGGGAAUAGAUUGUCAGAUGCAAUUGUAGUGAAGGCAUGACAGAGCUGCCUGCAACUGGUGCAAAGGCUUGGACUGCUGCUAUACCAUUGAGUCGGAGAUUGGGGAGUGUGGCCACAAUAUUCAGCUCAGGAUACCGUGGUAGUAAUCAAAAAUUGGCACUGAAAAUUGCAAGGGAACGUGAAGCUGUGAAGGUAACUGAUGAUAUCAUCAAUUCUGAGGAUAAGCUCCUCGCUCUGUUUUUGAGGUGGUUAUCAAUUAAUGAACACCAUUUCGAUGUGGAUGAUAGAAAAGCUUUCAAAGAGAGAUUUGAAAUCUUCAAGAAAACCGCUCGGCGUGUCCAUAAACAUAACCAAACCAAGUCUUCCUGCAUUCUUGGAUUAACCUAUUUUUCAGAUUUGACUCCAGAUGAGUGUAUAAACUUGUCGUAUAAGGUCUAUCCAAAGAAAGAGGUCAAGAAAGAGGUCUAUAUCUAAAUGUUAAAGAAAACUAAGUCUUAGGAAUCUAGUUCUAUUAUAGAUUUAUGAUGCUGUUUUACGGAUGCUAGUGGUCUAGUAGCAAGCUGUAUUUUGUCUGUAUUUUUGUUUUGAAGUCCAGUUUGGCAUAGGACAUUUCCUCAAUUUCCAUAUAUCCGUCAUUCAGAAGGCAACCAGUGCAGCAGGUCAAUACACGGAUGGAUUGCAGAAAACCUGAAUCAAGCGCAUUUAGAUUACUUUCUAUCUGGACUUGGUGUAAUAGAACUGGUUGCAUUCUUGUGUGUUCUACAGAAGAACUUCCAAUGUAAAAUCGGUGUCCAAGAAAAGGUAACUUUCUGCUAAGAAAAAUGAUAUCUUGUGUCCAAGAAAAGGUAACUUUCUGCUAAGAAAAAUGAUAUCUUGUGUCCGCAAAAUCUACAGAAGCGACGUUAAACAUCA